AACGAACGCUGGCGGCAUGCCUAACACAUGCAAGUCGAACGAGACCUUCGGGUCUAGUGGCGCACGGGUGCGUACCGCGUGGGAACCUGCCCUUAGGUUCGGAAUAACUCCCCGAAAGGGGUGCUAAUACCGGAUAAUGUCUUCGGACCAAAGAUUUAUCGCCUUUGGAUGGGCCCGCGUUGGAUUAGCUAGUUGGUAGGGUAAAAGCCUACCAAGGCGACGAUCCAUAGCUGGUCUGAGAGGAUGAUCAGCCACACUGGGACUGAGACACGGCCCAGACUCCUACGGGAGGCAGCAGUGGGGAAUAUUGGACAAUGGGCGAAAGCCGGAUCAAGCAAGGCCGCGUGAGGGAGGAAGGCCUUAGGGUUGUAAAGCUCUUUUACCCCGGGAUGAUAAUGACAGUACCGGAAGAAUAAGCUCCGGCUAACUCCGUG
rnacentral:rRNA from 1 species